ACUUUUGCUGACGACCGGCGCACGGGUGCGUAACGCGUAUGCAAUCUACCUCUUACUGANNNNNAGCCCAUGGAAACGUGGAUUAAUACCUCAUGGUAUUUUAAAUUGGCAUCAAUUUAAGAUUAAAGGUUACNNNNNGNGNNNAGCAUGCGUCCUAUUANNNNGAUGGUAAGGUAACGGCUUACCAUGGCAACGAUAGGUAGGGGUCCUGAGAGGGAGAUCCCCCACACUGGUACUGAGACACGGACCAGACUCCUACGGGAGGCAGCAGUGAGGAAUAUUGGACAAUGGGCGAGAGCUUGAUCCAGCCAUGCCGCGUGCAGGAAGACUGCCCUAUGGGUGUGUAAACUGCUUUUGUAUAGGAAGAAACCUUUCCUCGUGAGGAAAAUUGACGGUACUAUACGAAUAAGGAUCGGCUAACUCCGUGCCAGCAGCCGCGGUAAUACGGAGGAUCCAAGCGUUAUCCGGAAUCAUUGGGUUUAAAGGGUCCGUAGGCGGGUUUAUAAGUCAGUGGUGAAAGUCUGCAGCUUAACUGUAGAACUGCCAUUGAUACUGUAGAUCUUGAAUCAUUAUGAAGUGGUUAGAAUGUGUAGUGUAGCGGUGAAAUGCAUAGAUAUUACACAGAAUACCGAUUGCGAAGGCAGAUCACUAAUAAUGUAUUGACGCUGAUGGACGAAAGCGUAGGUAGCAAACAGGAUUAGAUACCCUGGUAGUCUACGCCGUAAACGAUGGUUACUAGCUGUCCGGCCUAAUUGAGGGCUGGGUGGUUAAGCGAAAGUGAUAAGUAACCCACCUGGGGAGUACGUUCGCAAGAAUGAAACUCAAAGGAAUUGACGGGGGCCCGCACAAGCGGUGGAGCAUGUGGUUUAAUUCGAUGAUACGCGAGGAACCUUACCAGGGCUUAAAUGCAGUCUGACGUACUUGGAAACAGGUAUUUCUUCGGACAGAUUGCAAGGUGCUGCAUGNGUUGUCGUCAGCUCGUGCCGUGAGGUGUCAGGUUAAGUCCUAUAACGAGCGCAACCCCUGUGGUUAGUUGCCAGCACGUAAUGGUGGGAACUCUAGCCAGACUGCCGGUGCAAACCGUGAGGAAGGUGGGGAUGACGUCAAAUCAUCACGGCCCUUACGUCCUGGGCCACACACGUGCUACAAUGGUAGGGACANNNNGCAGCCACUUCGCGAGAAGGAGCGAAUCUAUAAANNNUAUCACAGUUCGGAUCGUAGUCUGCAACUCGACUACGUGAAGCUGGAAUCGCUAGUAAUCGCAUAUCAGCCAUGAUGCGGUGAAUACGUUCCCGGGCCUUGUACACACCGCCCGUCAAGCC
rnacentral:rRNA from 1 species